UCAAACACUUGUUCUCGUACGAUCACUGAAUUUAAGCAACGUCGAACCUAUUCAAUACCUAAAUGGGUGACCGCUUGGGAAUAUCAGGUGCUGUAA